rnacentral:rRNA from 1 species
GUGGGGAAUCUUGCGCAAUGGGCGAAAGCCUGACGCAGCCAUGCCGCGUGAAUGAUGAAGGUCUUAGGAUUGUAAAAUUCUUUCACCGGGGACGAUAAUGACGGUACCCGGAGAAGAAGCCCCGGCUAACUUCGUGCCAGCAGCCGCGGUAAUACGAAGGGGGCUAGCGUUGCUCGGAUUUACUGGGCGUAAAGGGCGCGUAGGCGGACAUUUAAGUCAGGGGUGAAAUCCCGGGGCUCAACCUCGGAACUGCCUUUGAUACUGGGUGUCUUGAGUAUGAGAGAGGUGUGUGGAACUCCGAGUGUAGAGGUGAAAUUCGUAGAUAUUCGGAAGAACACCAGUGGCGAAGGCGACACACUGGCUCAUUACUGACGCUGAGGCGCGAAAGCGUGGGGAGCAAACAGGAUUAGAUACCCGAGUAGUCC